AGGACGAACGCUUGCGGCGUGCCUAAGAAAUGCAAGUCGAGCGGAUCAGGAGCAAUCCUGGUUAGCGGCGAACGGUCGCGUAACACGUAGGCAACCUGUCCGAGAGACCGGGACAACACUCCGAAAGGGGUGCUAAUACCGGAUGUGGCCGAGGGGAGUCAUCUUCCUUCGAUUAAAUCACUUCGGUGGCUCUUGGAGGGGCCUGCGGCCUAUCAGCUAGAUGGCGGGGUAACGGCUCACCAUGGCGACGACGGGUAGCUGGU
rnacentral:rRNA from 1 species